UACAGAGGUCCCAAGCGUUGUUCGGAUUCAUUGGGCGUAAAGGGUGCGUAGGCGGCGCGGUAAGUCGGGUGUGAAAUCUCGGAGCUUAACUCCGAAACUGCAUUCGAUACUGCCGUGCUUGAGGACUGGAGAGGAGACUGGAAUUUACGGUGUAGCGGUGAAAUGCGUAGAUAUCGUAAGGAAGACCAGUGGCGAAGGCGGGUCUCUGGGCAUCUCCUGACGCUGAGGCGCGAAAGCGUGGGGAGCAAACGGG
rnacentral:rRNA from 1 species